rnacentral:rRNA from 1 species
GCAGCUUGCCAGACUGUAACUGACGCUGAGGCACGAAAGCGUGGGGAGCGAACAGGAUUAGAUACCCUGGUAGUCCACGCCGUAAACGAUGAUUACUGGUUGUAGGCGAUAUAUUGUCUGUGACUGAGCGAAAGUAUUAAGUAAUCCACCUGGGGAGUACGUCGGCAACGAUGAAACUCAAAGGAAUUGACGGGGGCCCGCACAAGCGGAGGAACAUGUGGUUUAAUUCGAUGAUACGCGAGGAACCUUACCUGGACUUAAAUGUAGAUUGCAUAGAGUGGAGACAUUCUUUUCUUCGGACUAUCUACAAGGUGCUGCAUGGUUGUCGUCAGCUCGUGCCGUGAGGUGUCGGGUUAAGUCCCAUAACGAGCGCAACCCCUAUCGUUAGUUGCUAGCAGGUAAUGCUGAGAACUCUAGCGAGACUGCCACCGUAAGGUGUGAGGAAGGUGGGGAUGACGUCAAAUCAGCACGGCCCUUACGUCCAGGGCUACACACGUGUUACAAUGGCAGGUACAAAGGGCAGCUACAUAGCGAUAUGAUGCUAAUCUCAAAAACCUGUCUCAGUUCGGAUAGGAGUCUGCAACUCGACUCCUUGAAGCUGGAUUCGCUAGUAAUCGUAUAUCAGCAAUGAUACGGUGAAUACGUUCCCGGGCCUUGUACACACCGCCCGUCAAGCCAUGGAAGUUAGGGGUACCUAAAGUACGUAACCGUAAGGAGCGUCCUAGGGUAAAACUGGUAACUGGGGCU